AACCAUAGAAACCUGCGGAGUACCUGCGGAGGGAUCAUUAUAGUAUAUGGAAUCUCCAUUCUAUAAACCCACUCUGCGUAUCUUGUAACUGUUGCUUCCAUGGGACUUGGUUCCGCCACACCGGCUUCACGGCUGGUGAGCGCCCAUGGAAGGAGAAACGAAACUCUUCUUUGAAAUGUAGUCAGUCUGAACAAGUUUUUAUAAACGUUAAAACUUUCAGCAAUGGAUCUCAGAUCGGAA
rnacentral:misc_RNA from 1 species